rnacentral:rRNA from 1 species
CGGCAAUGGAGGAAACUCUGACCGAGCAACGCCGCGUGAACGAUGAAGUAUUUCGGUACGUAAAGUUCUUUUAUUAGGGAAGAAUAAAUGAUGGAAAAAUCAUUCUGACGGUACCUAAUGAAUAAGCCCCGGCUAACUAUGUGCCAGCAGCCGCGGUAAUACAUAGGGGGCAAGCGUUAUCCGGAAUUAUUGGGCGUAAAGGGUGCGUAGGCGGUUAAAUAAGUUUAUGGUCUAAGUGCAAUGCUUAACAUUGUGAUGCUAUAAAAACUGUUUAAAUAGAGUAAGAUAGAGGCAAGUGGAAUUCCAUGUGUAGUGGUAAAAUGCGUAAAUAUAUGGAGGAACACCAGUAGCGAAGGCGGCUUGCUGGGUCUUUACUGACGCUGAGGCACGAAAGCGUGGGGAGCAAACAGGAUUAGAUACCCUGGUAGUCCACGCCGUAAACGAUGAGUACUAAAUGUUGGGUAAAACCAGUGUUGAAGUUAACACAUUAAGUACUCCGCCUGAGUAGUACGUACGCAAGUAUGAAACUUAAAGGAAUUGACGGGACUCCGCACAAGCGGUGGAUCAUGUUGUUUAAUUCGAAGGUACCCGAAAAACCUCACCAGGUCUUGACAUGCUUCUGCAAAGCUGUAGAAACACAGUGGAGGUUAUCAGUUGCACAGGUGGUGCAUGGUUGUCGUCAGCUCGUGUCGUGAGAUGUUGGGUUAAGUCCCGCAACGAGCGCAACCCUUAUUGUUAGUUGCCAGCACGUAAUGGUGGGGACUUUAGCAAGACUGCCAGUGAUAAAUUGGAGGAAGGUGGGGACGACGUCAAAUCAUCAUGCCCCUUAUGACCUGGGCUACAAACGUGAUACAAUGGCUGUUACAAAGGGUAGCUGAA